rnacentral:rRNA from 1 species
AUUGAACGCUGGCGGCAGGCCUAACACAUGCAAGUCGAGCGGACGGACGAAGCUUUCUCUUGUAUUCAGUGGCCGGCGGGCGGGUAAUGCACACGAAUCUGCCCUGCCUUUGGGGCUAACGUCCGGACACGGGCCCUAAUAUCGCACCCGUCCAUAUGGUGAAAGUGGGGGUUCUUCGGACAUCACGCUAUCUGAUGAGCCUAGGACGGAUUAGCUAGUUGGUUGGGUAAGGGCCUACCAAGGCGACGAUCCGUAACUGGUCUGAGAGGGUGAUCAGUCACACUGGAACUGAGACACGGUCCAGACUCCUACGGGAGGCAGCAGUAGGGAAUAUUCGGCAAUGGGCGAAAGCCUGACGCAGCCAUGCCGCGUGUGUGAAGAAGGUCUUCGGAUCGUAAAGCACUGUAAUUUGGGAGGAAGAGCUGUGUAUUAAACCAUGGCUGUUUUGACGUUACCAACAGAAAAAGCACCGGCUAACUACGUG